rnacentral:rRNA from 1 species
CCUACGGGAGGCAGCAGUGAGGAAUAUUGGACAAUGGGCGCAAGCCUGAUCCAGCCAUGCCGCGUGCAGGAAGAAGCAUCUAUGGUGUGUAAACUGCUUUUGUACAGGAAGAAACACUCCCUCGUGAGGGAGCUUGACGGUACUGUAAGAAUAAGGACCGGCUAACUCCGUGCCAGCAGCCGCGGUAAUACGGAGGGUCCGAGUGUUAUCCGGAAUCAUUGGGUUUAAAGGGUCCGUAGGCGGUUUAAUAAGUCAGUGGUGAAAUCUGGUCGCUCAACGAUCAAACGGCCAUUGAUACUGUUAGACUUGAAUUAUAAGGAAGUAACUAGAAUAUGUAGUGUAGCGGUGAAAUGCUUAGAUAUUACAUGGAAUACCAAUUGCGAAGGCAGGUUACUACUUAUGGAUUGACGCUGAUGGACGAAAGCGUGGGGAGCGAACAGGAUUAGAUACCCUGGUAGUCCACGCCGUAAACGAUGGAUACUAGCUGUUCGGAGCAAUCUGNGUGNGUAGACGAGUAGAGUAGUAGUACCGACCGUACGGAGGUAACGGUUACGUCGAGAGUAGUUAACGUUACGAAGAAGUUAGAGGCGNGAGAGAGCGACGGACGACGACGAGGGAGGAGG